rnacentral:tRNA from 1 species
CCUGUGGCUCAGAUGGUAAAGCAUCUGCCUACAAUGCAGGAAACCUGGGUUCGAUCCCCGGGUCAGGA